GAAGCAGGGCGGGUGAUCGCUGGUCCCCCCAGGGGGGCCCAGAGGAAAGUCCGGACUCCGCAGGGCAGGGUGCUGGGUAACGCCCAGUGGGGGGAACCCCAAGGAAAGUGCCACAGAAAACAGACCGCCCUGGCGGGGAUCCCGCCGGGGUAAGGGUGAAAAGGUGAGGUAAGAGCUCACCGCAGUCCGGGUGACGGCGCCGGGUAACCGGUGCCCUAGACGAAUGAUCACCACCCCCGGGCCGGGUCACUGGCCCGGCCCAGGGGGGACAGAAUCCGGCUUACGCCCUGUCUUCAGCC
rnacentral:RNase_P_RNA from 1 species